UACUGUCAGCAAUGGGGAUUUAUGGU
rnacentral:piRNA from 1 species